rnacentral:tRNA from 1 species
GGGUAUAGCGCAGUCCGGUAGCGCGCCUGCUUUGUUUGGUCGUAGGUUCGAAUCCCACACGACCCACCA